CUGUAAUCAUACAAUACUACAGACAGUAGUAUAGAGCAGCAGGGAGAAGAGAAUACAACAUGCAUAUAUAAACUGUGGUUCUAUAUAUACAUAAGAUCUAAGAUACAAAAGCACUCGCACUGGCGAGAGUACAACAUCUGUAUGUAUAAACCAGAACUACACUACCUGCAGCGGUCCUCCACUAGCUCAGCAACUCGACUGGAAGGGUUCUAACUCGCGACACCCUUGCCACGAUCAAUAUCAGCGACAGCAGCAGCCGAAGAUGAUGGCUCUGCAAAAUAGUAGAAACAAACUGGGCGUGAGAACUACUACAAAAAGAAGUAGUUCUCAGUGGGUACCGCCCUCAAUACAUCGGUCCACCCACUAAGUCUACAGAGGUAAGCAAGAAAUAAUAAGGAAAGCUGGAACAUAUCUACAGCUAUCUGCCUCAAUACUAUCAUGCUCUAAUCUAACCAACUGUAGAAUAGUGUCAACUCAGACCCAAUCUCGAAUAGGGACUGUAAUCAUACCCGUCCCUGGGACUAUGAACAUACCCGUCCCGCCCGGUCGCGACUAUACAACUACAUCCACACUAAUAAGUCCGUGGAGAGCAAGUCCAACCUGCACGAACGACACGAACGCAAAAGUACAGCGCCCGCCUCGGGAGUGGCAGUCGUGGGAGCUACCCAACCGAGUAUGCAGCGUAUCUCUGUCGAGCUCAAUCAGGCGCUAAUAAGCCAAAGUUAAGAAGCUAGGGUCAAAACUGGUCUAGAAAUCAAAUCCACGUGCCCUCGACAUAAUUUGAGACCAAAAACAGGACUCUAGGUCCACCGUCCACCCCGACGGUACCCAACAACCCGAAACAGCCUAGACUCUGCUGUAAAAAUAAGCUCGGCGCCCCAGCACGAGUGUAAAUGUAUUUUAAACUACCCCGGGUAUCCACCGCGCUGAAACAGCGGUAAUACAAUCAAACCACGGCUCCUAGAGCUAAAUCAGGUAGCAGAAUUAUAUGACGGGUCAAAAUGCGGGUUUUCUCCUAAGUCAAUUUCCAAGUCCAAUAUGUAUAUUUUGCAAAUUAAGAAUCAUGCUCCAAAUUCAGAUUUCAUACAUUAUACUAUUCGAUGAAUUUGAGCUACAACAUGUUAUACCGAAGUCGAACUAUACAUGUUUACUUUACACAUGCUUAGGAGCAAAACCGAUAAGAAACCCACCUUAAUUGCUAAUCCCUGGCAGCAAGGAAGUCUCAAAGGUGCAAGAUCUCGCAGCUAAACCUCAUCUCAGCCAGCAACGAUCCACAAUUCCGAUCUAAGCACCAAAAAUCACUGAUUCCAUCAUUACAACUAUAAUAUCAGCACUUAAGCUUAAUUAACCACACUCCAAUGUCAAAACUCACCUAAUAACCUCCAAUUCAGGUGAGGACAGUCCCAAAUCCAAUGGAGUAUACUGGAGAAUAAUUCUCAAGUCCCAAAUUCUCCUGCUUCCAAAGAUAGCAUCAAGAAAAGCUCAAAAUCUACAAUUCUGUCCAAAUACAAUAACAGCAGAGUAAAACUUGAGUUCGACCAAGCUAACCUCAACCAAAUUCUGCAAUUCAGGGCUUCGUGGAUUCCUCUGGCAGUCUAGAAUCCAGCAAACUAAGUUUCACCGCGAUCCGACCUUUCUACGUCGCACACGAACCAAAACACUGGAGGUCGUCGCUGAAAAACUGCAGAAUCUGCACCUAUCAAGCUUGGAGUUGUGGAUCUUGAAGCAAUUUGAGUGAUUUGGAGGGGUUGGAAUGCAAAAUAGAGGAUCACUGUGAAGAAGAGAGGAAAAGAGCUCACCAAGGACGCUCCUCA
rnacentral:lncRNA from 1 species